rnacentral:snRNA from 1 species
GUGCUCACUUCGGCAGCACAUAUACUAAAACUGGAACGAUACAGAGAAGAUUAGCAUGGCCCCUGCGCAAGGAUGACACGUUAAUUUGUGAAGAGUUCCAUAUUUUC